rnacentral:rRNA from 1 species
UGAGAUGGUCGUGUGCCGCAUGACGUCAGGGCCAGCCGUUUGGAAGAGGGGUGGGGGUGGGGGGCGGGGCGGCGCCCUCGCGAGGCGCCGGCGGUACCGCAGAGGAGGCCCGGGCCCCAGACGGUUGGCGCGCGAGAGGAGGAGUAGCUCCCCCGGCGAGAGCGGGAAGGGGCCGCCGCGCCCGGGCAAGGAGGCCGUAGUUGGAGGAGGGCCGCCGCUGAGGCUACCGCCGCGGAGGUACCUGCUCAAGCUGCUUCUACUGCUCCUGCUCCUGCUCCUUCUCCUACUACCCCUCCUAGUCCUGCGGCUCGACCGCCGGGCGUCGAGCGUCGUCGCUGCGCGGAGGAGAGGUCGUCCUUAGCCCGCCGGACACCACUUACCCCUCUUACCUUGCUCCGUUUAGGUCCUCCCCGUCGUUACCGUCGACAUGUCGACACCUUGGCUCGUCGUGCCAGCGUCAAGUAGAUCUCCCCUGCUUCUCGGACCAAGACAAGGGUCCCUCUACUCCCACCUCCUACCUAUACCUCAGUAACCCUCCUCUCUCCCUCCGGGACGCAGAUCGAUGACCCUGGACGAGUCUCGCGUGGACAGGCUGGGCAACUGUCCGUAAGAGUACCUGCUGCGCUACUAAGACAGUACACCCGUAAGAAUACCUUCAUCACCCUACGUCGUAUAGAUGUCUUACUUUCGAACACCAUUUACACCAGUCGGUUAAUGGCUCCUGAGGUAAGCUGGUUUGGACCGAGAACCGGAACGUCAGGUCCGUAAAUCUGCGCUCCUUCUCAGCCGCUUUUGUGACUUUUCUUCUUCUCUAGCGUAGCUUGUCCUGUUUACACCGUUGCUACUGGGCUUAGGUCGGCUCCAAAGCUCUCCGUUUCCGCAGGUCAUAGGAAAGCGACAGAAGCUGGCUCACUAUUAGUUCCCUUUGUUCUCCUGGGGCCUCGCCAAGCACCCCGCGCACCGCCACCACUGUCGUGUCACGAACUUACCUACCAUACACCACUUCUGGGACCUGUUGCGCCUCUCGCACUUCGACGUCAUGGCGAGGGACCGCUUCAAGCACCUGCCGCCGUCGCCACUCGGAGGGCGGCACCAGAGGUUGUCAAGGGUCUUGUGUUCGACCAACACUGAACCUUCCAUGUUUUCGUCUAGUACGACUCAUGUUCGUCAACGACUAUACAUCUUCGACGUAGUACCACAAAAUCUAGUCUAGUCUUAGUCUGGAGGUCCCGGGCGUAGAAAACGACAAAGGUCCUCCUCUGUUUGUCAUCUCACUCCUUGUAAUAGGAAAAAACCAUCGGUUAGUGUCACAGUUAGAAAUACCACGAGGAGAAAGGAAAGAGAAAAACAUCGUCGUUGAUCCAUGGUACACCACAGUCAGUCACAGGAACACUACACUCCGAAACAUCUUAUGAUCAUGGUAAGGUCAUGUGAGAAUAGGUCCAACACGACACUAACCCGGUCUCCGUAUUUAUUCCUUUGUGUUGUAGUUUCCCCCUCUUCGUCAGUAGUACCACGGUGGUUUCCCGUUGGUGGUUGUCUUUUCAAACCACUUUGUUCGUAAGUCCUAUUUACCAAGAAAAAAUUCAUUCUUGUUGUAACAGAAUUAUUUUUCGCGGCAAAUAACC